GCUUGGUUCAUUAUUUUGGGGUCAAAUCCAUAAACCUUGGUCAUAUUGGCGUUCUGGGGAUCCGAUUCAAUAUCCUGUGGGUUUGAUUGCAACCUUACUGAUCGGGUUUGCAUCAGAGACGCCGCGACAAUACAUGCUUAUUUUUCGAACAUGCAGGCAAGGUGCCCAGGUUUUUUUCUUUAGUAUAGACUUAGACAAAGAGUUACGGUUGAAGAAUAUUUUCUGGGCAGAUAAUAGAAGUAAGCAAGCAUAUGAGGAGUUCGGUGAUGUGGUCACAUUUGACACCACGUACCUAACUAAUAAGUACGAUAUGUCGUUUGCUCCUUUUGUUGGAGUUAAUCAUCAUGGACAAUCAAUACUCCUUGGUUGUGGGUUGGUAUUCAAUGAAAACACAGAAACAUUUGUGUGGCUUUUCAAAACUUGGCUUUAGUAUAUGCAUGGCCAAGCUCCUAUUAGGAUUAUUACUGACCAAGACAGAGCCAUGCAGAAUGCAAUUCAAAUUGUGUUUACAAAUAUGAAACACAAGUGGUGUUUAUGGCACAUAUUGAAGUUGCUUGAGAAAUUUGGAUACCAUGUCGAUAAGGGUGAGAUUUUUUCUGCUAUACAUGUAUUGGUAUAUGAUUCUCAAACUAUUGAUGCAUUUGAAGAAGGUUGGAGAGCUAUGUUAGACAGAUAGUCGUUGCAUGAUAAUGAGUGGUUAUCAGGAAUGUAUGAGAACAUAGGUCGUUGGGUACCUUGCUUUUUAAAAAGUAGCUUUUGGGUGGGAAUGUCAACCACUCAGCGCAAUGAGAGCAUGAAUGCAUUUUUCGACGAUUAUAUGCACAUGGAGAUGUCACUAAAACAAUUUGUAGAAUAAUAUGAGAGAGCAUUGAGGAGUAAGGUAGAGAAGGAGUUUCAAGCAGAUUUUAAAUCAUACUUACAAAUGGUACCACCUGCAACAAAGUAUGAGUUGGAGAAACAAUUUCAACAAGUGUACAUCAUUUCAAAAUUUCGGGAAAUUCAGGACGAAUUCAUUGGAAAGGUUUAUUGCGAUCUCAUAUCAUCAUCGGAGGGCUUUUCGGGGACAACCUAUGAGGUAUUAGAGGAUGUCAUACUUGAGAAUCAAGUUAAGAAACAAAAGUUUUCUGUGACGUUUGAAAGAUAGAAAUGUAACAUUGUUUGCAGUUGACAUUUAUUCGAGUUUCGAGGAAUAAUUUGUAGACACGCGAUCUCUGUACUUAUCCAUAAUAACAUCCCGACAUUACUGAGAUGGAAAAGAGAUGUUAGUAGAGCCCACACCAAAGUCGCAGUGAACUAUGAUGGUUUGAGUAGCACCCUACUCCAAUUGAGAUAUGACAAGAUGUGUCAAUCAUUUUCUUCACUUGUGGACAUGGCUAUAGAUGAUGAUCAUCAAACCCAUGAGGUACUGGAGUGGAUAGAAUCCAAAAAACAAUUAUUGGAGACGAUGAGGUUGAGUUGUGGAAGCAAGGACGUGUCCCAGCAUGCAUUUUAGAUAGCUUCGGAUGGUGGAGCGUCACAACAUAGCAGUAACUCAGGUAUAAAGGAUCCAAAAUGCUCAAAGAGAAAAGGCACACCGAAGAAACUUCGAAACAAAAGUCCUUUGGAAUCAGUAUCCAGUAUGUUUCCAUUUUGUUUUAUUACGGUGCAUAUGUGUAUUAAUUAUUUUUUGCUUACACAGUCACAUCCAGCCAAAGAAAGGAGACGGACGGUAGGCCCAAGUAAAUUGGGGUAAGUUGAACGGAUCGUACAUGCACAUGAUCAAGUAGUGAAUGAACACAUGCCGGCACCAAUCUCAUAUUCACAUCUUCUAAUGGUUCAUCUAAUUCGAUUUAUCAAUGCAUUUGAUUUCCAUAUUUUAGUGACAUCAUGAUAUUGUGUAGGGUGAUGGAGACGGUCAUAUAUUUACAAAACAAAGAAUGUCUCCAAAUUUCUUCUCAUCGGCUUCAAUGGGUGUUAUGUUCAAUGGUCAAGGUAUGAUG
rnacentral:lncRNA from 1 species